rnacentral:lncRNA from 1 species
UGAGAAUCAUGAAAGCAGCAGGCUUGGAGGUGGAACGGGAGGGCGGCACCAUCUCCUCUCGUGUAACCCGUGCAGGUUUUUUCAAUAAAACCAGCUAUAAAGAGGGAAAGCGUUACAACACAGACAAGGUUAUACCAAGCCCUUGGUUCUAAGGAGUCCACAGGCCUGCUGGGAUGACACAAAGAUCUAGGGGGCAGCAGAGACCACCAGCUGCUGGAGCCAGAACACCUUGGCCUCGAUCCCUUUGAAAAUCCCUUACCACGGAC